AUAUUGCUCAAUGGGAGAAAUCCUGAAGCAGCAACGCCGCGUGGAGGAUGAAGGGUCUAUGACUUGUAAACUCCUGUAAAGAAGGAAAAAAUUCCCAUUAGAUGGGAGAUGAUGGUACUUCUGGAGUAAGCCCCGGCUAACUACGUGCCAGCAGCCGCGGUAAUACGUAGGGGGCAAGCGUUGUCCGGAUUUACUGGGUGUAAGGGGUGCUCAGGCGGAUUUGUAAGUAAGAGGUGAAAUCUUACAGCUUAACUGUGAAACUGCCUUUGAUACUGCAAGCCUAGAGUAUGGAAGAGAGUGAUGGAAUAUCUGGUGUAGCAGUGAAAUGCGUAGAUAUCAGAUAGAACACCAAUGGCGAAGGCAGUCACUUGGUCCAUUACUGACGCUAAAGCACGAAAGCGUGGGUAGCAAAC
rnacentral:rRNA from 1 species